rnacentral:rRNA from 1 species
AGAGUUUGAUCCUGGCUCAGGACGAACGCUGGCGGCACGCUUAACACAUGCAAGUCGAACGAGAGAAGAGGAGCUUGCUUUUCUGAUCUAGUGGCGGACGGGUGAGUAACACGUGAGCAAUCUGCCUUUCAGAGGGGGAUACCGAUUGGAAACGAUCAUUAAUACCGCAUAACAUAAUUGAACCGCAUGAUUUGAUUAUCAAAGAUUUAUCGCUGAAAGAUGAGCUCGCGUCUGAUUAGCUAGUUGGUAAGGUAACGGCUUACCAAGGCGACGAUCAGUAGCCGGACUGAGAGGUUGAUCGGCCACAUUGGGACUGAGACACGGCCCAGACUCCUACGGGAGGCAGCAGUGGGGAAUAUUGCACAAUGGAGGAAACUCUGAUGCAGCGAUGCCGCGUGAGGGAAGAAGGUUUUAGGAUUGUAAACCUCUGUCUUCAGGGACGAAAAAAGACGGUACCUGAGGAGGAAGCUCCGGCUAACUACGUGCCAGCAGCCGCGGUAAUACGUAGGGAGCGAGCGUUGUCCGGAAUUACUGGGUGUAAAGGGAGCGUAGGCGGGAUCGCAAGUCAGAUGUGAAAACUAUGGGCUUAACCCAUAAACUGCAUUUGAAACUGUGGUUCUUGAGUGAAGUAGAGGUAAGCGGAAUUCCUAGUGUAGCGGUGAAAUGCGUAGAUAUUAGGAGUAACAUCAGUGGCGAAGGCGGCUUACUGGGCUUUAACUGACGCUGUGGCUCGAAAGCGUGGGGAGCAAACAGGAUUAGAUACCCUGGUAGUCCACGCCGUAAACGAUGAUUACUAGGUGUGGGGGGACUGACCCCUUCCGUGCCGCAGCAAACGCAAUAAGUAAUCCACCUGGGGAGUACGACCGCAAGGUUGAAACUCAAAGGAAUUGACGGGGGCCCGCACAAGCAGUGGAGUAUGUGGAUUAAUUCGAAGCAACGCGAAGAACCUUACCAGGUCUUGACAUCGUAUGCAUAGCUCAGAGAUGAGUGAAAUCUCUUCGGAGACAUAUAGACAGGUGGUGCAUGGUUGUCGUCAGCUCGUGUCGUGAGAUGUUGGGUUAAGUCCCGCAACGAGCGCAACCCUUACUGUUAGUUGCUACGCAAGAGCACUCUAGCAGGACUGCCGUUGACAAAACGGAGGAAGGUGGGGAUGACGUCAAAUCAUCAUGCCCCUUAUGACCUGGGCCUCACACGUACUACAAUGGCUGUCAACAGAGGGAAGCAAAGCCGCGAGGUGGAGCGAACCCCUAAAAGCAGUCUUAGUUCGGAUUGUAGGCUGCAACCCGCCUACAUGAAGUCGGAAUUGCUAGUAAUCGCAGAUCAGCAUGCUGCGGUGAAUACGUUCCCGGGCCUUGUACACACCGCCCGUCACGCCAUGGGAGUCGGUAACACCCGAAGCCUGUAGUCUAACCGCAAGGAGGACGCAGUCGAAGGUGGGAUUGAUGACUGGGGUGAAGUCGUAACAAGGUA